CUUCUGGUCGCCAUAUUGAUCCCGCCAGAACUACUUGCAUGCCUGGGCCAUUUCCCGAGCUACUGCCCACACAGAGACCCGUGGCUGGCAGGCAGAUGCCCUGGGGAGCCUUUUUUACCCUGCUGCCUGGGACUGGGGAGGCCGGAGCGGCCUGUCAGAGCCAUGCCCCAGGCUGCCGCGCUCCCCGUCAGGUCCCUCGCAGGCUCCUGCUAUACCUCGCCCGUCCAGAUUGUUUUCUCCAGCCCACAGCUGCACACUCGGUUCCACCCCUGGGGCUGGGCUGUUCCCUACAGCCAAGGAGCAAAAGCCCCGGGGGCAGUGCUCACCUGCUCUGCCCUGCAGGCUCCCCCAGGUUUUGGUUCCAGAAAUCAGAUCCGAAGGAGGAGACAGAAAGCAGAGAGAGAGCCUGAAGAUCCCUUCUCUGAAACAAUCAUAUGAGGACAGCUUAGCUGACUAAGCAGAGGUAGAACGUUGAAAUUGGCAUUUGGCACUCAGAAGAUUCCAGGAAUCUGUUGCUCUUCUAAACACUUCAGUCAAUCUCACUGUCAAAAUCCAACCUGAGAACAAUGGAAUGGGUAAGUAGAAUAUUUAUUUAUUAAAAGGGCAACAUCUCAGAAAUGAAAUUAUAAUUUAGUUGGGAUAAAUUGUCUUAUAACUUCAUUUUUUUACAUUAAAGCUAUAAUUGAGGGGUAUUACAUGCUGUUUAUCACUGCAAUGAAAAUGUAGUCAGAAUGAACUUCUCGAGGCUGUUAAACUGCCUCUUAUUAGCAUUGAAACUAUACUCACAGCCCAUUAUCCUGGGCUAUAUUUUUUUGGUAUAAGGGAAUUGCUAUCAAAGUGUACUUAAUCUGAAAGGAAUUGGAUUAUAAUGGGAGUCUUUGUGAAAGAGGAGUUAAAGUUAUUUGGUAUUGUCUUAAGGUAACAAUAUACUAUUGGAAUAUUAAAAGAGUAUGGCAGUGGCACUGGAAAGGCACACUAGUUAUCAUCAUUUGAUGUCAAAUGAUUCUCUGCAUUUUUACUCCUAAUCAAUCUGGGUAACAAAAGAUAGAAAAUGUUUAUAAAUUCAUUUGAUCAUGCUGGUUUUUCAAAGAGUGUUGUAGAGUUUUUAUCAUGUUCUGUUAUCCAUCCACAGUUAGCACUUGGCAUUUUUUCACAAGGAGUAUUCGAAUCUAAGAGUAAUGAUGUCUGUAUUUGAAACAUAGUAGGUAUUUCCUAAAUGUCAAUUAAAUUAAAUCACAUUGCCAAUAGGCCUGAGUAAAGGGAACAGAAUAUUUCUUCUAGUGGAUUAUUUCAAAGGCAGCAAAAUAACAAAUGUGGGAUGAUAAUUCUAAUUUUUAUAUAUGAUAUGCCAGUCUAAUUGCUGCCAGGCAUGCUUGUCAUAAAGAAAAAAUUACAAAAUUAAACACUGUCAUACAAUCUAGGACAGAGGUUGGCAACUUUCUCUAUAAGAAGCCGAAUAAUAAAUAUUUUUAACUUUGCAGACCAUACAGUCUUUGUCACAACUCUGCCAUUGUUGCAUGAAAGCAUCCCUAGAUGGUACACAAAUGCAUGGAUGUAGCCAUGCGCCAGUAUAACUACAAAAAAGCAGACAGCUGGCUGGAUUUAGCCCAUGGGCCAUAGUUUACAGAACCCAAUCUAGGUGAUUGCCUGGUAACUCUCUGAUUGUAAACAGAAAAGCAAAUUUGUGCACUGAAAUCUCAUGGCUAUAUUUGGUUGUAAGUUGGCCAUCCGGAUUCAAAGUAUGACUUUAAUUGUUAUAGUGAUAAUUAUCAGACUAUGGUAUUAAAAUAUAAGAUAAUUAUAAUAAUUAUACAAAUAAUUGUUAUCAUUAAAAAUAAGUGGCAUUUUAUUCUUUUCUCUUUUGAGACAUUGAAAUACAGUAUGUCCUACUCUUAAGUGGAAACGUACAAAGCAAGUCAGUAUAAUUUCUAAACAAAGAAGAAAUUCAGAAGUCCAUCUUUUAACUUGUAUCCUCUCCUUCCUUGAUAUAACAUGCAAUCCUUCUGUGUGUGUGAAGCACUGAUUGAUUUCAGUGCUGUGAGUGUUCGAGCCACACAUUUCAACUCUCCAUUGCUUUCCCAGCAUCUUUAAAUAAAACAGCUGAGAGUGGGUUGGACUCUCUCCUGAUUUAUGAGCAAUUUGUUGUGAUACUGAAAUGGCAGUCAUGACAGAAUCCUGCCUAUGCUGUAAAGCAUUGAAAGAUACAGAAAUGACUAGGGAGGACAUCUUUCACCAGGAGGAGACACUUGAGGUAUCUUUGCUGACCCCUGGGCUAGAGUUUAACAUUUACUCAGAAAUAAGCCAUGAGGAGGUGUGCUUGGUGGCUCAUUCCUGUAAUCCCAGUGUUUUGGGAGGCCAAGGCAGGAGGACUGCUUGAGGCCAAAAGUUUGAGAUCAGCCUGGAAAACAGUGACAGCCUGUCUCUACCAAAAAAAAAAAAAAAAAAAGAAAGCCCUAGAAAUUUACUCACGUCACCAGUUUGAAAAGGGCACAAAUCACCUCUUGUUUAAUAACUUGACCUAAGUGCCAGUUUUCUCAUUGGCAGAACUGAGAUAAUAUCCACUGCCCUCCCACCACCACUUUUCAGGGCUGACAUGAGCGUUAAAUGAGAUGGAAUACAAAAAGGUGCUCGGUACCCUCAACCAACAGCCAUUUUAUUAAUCAUGUGCUCUCUCAGUUGUAAUUGCUUCUUUUGUUUAUGACUAGCACUGGGUGACUUGCAGGCACUGAUAAACAAUCACUGACUUAUUUUCCUACCUCCCAAUUUGUAUUCCUCUUAGAAAUCUGACAGACUGACACCAGAAUGCCAAACCUGAGCUGAAGUGCAGUGACAUCUUCAUAUCCUCUAGCUGCACAAACAAUCUAGGGCAGCAGUUGCAGCGCAUUUCCCAAUACUUAUAUUUCAAGUAUUUUUUUGACAUUUAACACCAUUAGAACAUACAGCAGAAUCCAAGUACAGUUUCUUUGAGGUAAAAAUGUGAGUGUUUUUUCAUAUCUCAGUGUGUUGAAUAACCUUUAGAUGCAAAGUUAGCACAGCAAACAUUGACACGAUGCAGGCAGCUCAGUGCAGAGUGCCUAAAAAUAAAUAUAAGAAGUUCAUAUGCUACCAAAAGGAAAAGAGUUAAGAAUUUAAAUGGAAAAACAGCUUUGAGUCUUAUGAUUCAUGAGAUCUCACUAUUGUCUUUGAUUCCAUGGAUGCAAUUGGUUGGAAGACACUAAAUAUAGUUGCACCUAUUAUAUAUACAGAGCUUAGAUAAACCUAUCGUUUUACUUUUUGGUCUAUUGUCUUAAGUUUUCUGGCAGCUAUGAAAUGUGAUUACUUCAACUGGGGUCUCAAUUCAUGUGAGUCUGCAAGACCAUGUGUUUUUGGAGUUCUAGAUUUGAGUCCUAAAUUUAUCAUUUUAGGUCAACUUGUAUGACUUUUCAGCUCCUUGGUUUUCCUCUUCAUAUGACCAUUAGGACAUCCUUUAAGGAUAUUUUAAUUAACUAAUAUUCCUGCAAGCUGACACUCCUCUUUCUCUUCACCCUCACCUUCUAGUGGGCAUGGUUUUUGGAUGAGGUACUUGAGGCUGCAUUCUCUCAUUCUUGAAGAUUAGGUCUUUUUCUGGAUACUUCCUGGUCCUUCAAGUACCAUUGUUUUCUGGCAAGCAUCUAUUCCCUUUCUAUAAUGGCAAUAACAUUUCUAAGGUUUUCAGAAAACCUAGCCCCCUUCUUUUCAGCCUUGUAGUUUAAUGAGGUUGACCUUAAUUCCAGUUUAACUGGUAAAUUCAGAUUCGUUUAAGCCAAGUAGUAUAUACUGUAUUCUUGAUCACAGUGAUUGAUACAAGACACUAAAAUGCCCCAGUAUCACUUUCACUUGGGGAGUUUGAGCCACAUGUUCUUUCUUUGAGCCAUCAGAGUACAUGUGAGAACUUUGGCUUGAAUGCUCAGAUAAAGACUUCCUCUUACCUGCUGAAUAGAAAGGCAGAUACAAAAAUCCUUGAGAGCUUCUGGAAGUCAUUUUCAGAGUUACGUCUAAAUGUAACUAGGUUCUCCAUGGCACUUUAGAGCCAUAGGUUCAAGCUUUCCUUGAAGCCAAUGUUACCUGGGUAAUGUAGUUACGUGAGUCAAUAAAUCCAUUUUAGUGCUUAAGGCCUGUGAGUUGUAUUUUUGUCCCUUGCCAAAAGUACAAACUGAAGUACACAGGCCCUCCAGAUAUACCUAUACACAUCUGAAUCUGAGGGAGAACAUGAAAUAAACUUAAAUAAAACCCUAGUUGCAUAUGAAAGCUUAGUAUAAUAUUAUAAACUGAACUGAUAUUGUUACUCCUCUAUCCUUUCAUUACCCCCAACUUCCUAGGUAUUUUUCCUUCUUUCUUUUAAAUUCUAAUGCUUUUUAUACUACCCAUGAAGAGUGCUGUUCAAUCCCAUUGGCUAACCUAUUUUUGAUAAGAAUAUUCCUUAUUUAGUGCCUACUUUGCUAGAUACAGUACUGAUUGAUUUCUAUUGAUACUUCAUCUCUAAGAAGUUUGUUCAAUAAGAUUUGUUAUUCCCAUUUUAAGAUGAGAAACCUGAGGUUUAGGAGGACUGACUUGCACAAGAUUACACACUAGUAAGUGGUGCAAAUAGGAUUUGAGUCUAGGCAUUCUGACAGUCUGUGCUCUGUCACUAUGUUGAGCUGAGGCAGAGUUUAUGGAUGUAUCCUUAGGACAUCAGAUAAGUUGACAUGGCCCUCCAGCCUUCCAUGUUUAUUCAAUUCAACAAAUAUUUAUUGAAUGUUUAAUAGGGACCAAAUACUUUCCUGGGUGAUGAGUAUAUAAAUUGUAAACAAGCCAAGCACCGACUCUGCUAUCCUGGAGCUUACAGUCUAGUGGGGUUCCCAUGCCAGAUAGACCGUAUGUGUUAAGAGCCGCCAUAGGUAACACUGCUAAGCAAGCACACGGCAGUAUCACCCAACCCAUCUAAGGGUAUUAGGGGAAGCUUCCAGGGUCCUGUGCAGCCUUCACCAUGAUUCAAUAGGAACUGGCCAGGUGACAGAUGCUUAAGCAGGGAGAGUGACAAGUAUUUCAGAGAGAGAAAAUAAUGUGAAUAAAAUCUGGAAAGAGCAUGGUGGGCUCAGAGAACCAAAAGAGUUUUGAAUCUUGUAGUAGAAGCUGCCCAUAAAGAGAGACUGGUGAGUAAUCAGAAGCUAAGCUACAGAAUUCAGUCUUCAUCUUAGGUAUGAUAAUGGGGUUGGGUGCGGUGGCUCUCGCCUGUAAUCCCAACACUUUGGGAGGCUGAGCCAGGUGGAUCACCUGAGGUCAGGAGUUAGAGAGCAGCCUGGCCAACGUGAUGAAACCCCAUCUCCACAAAAAUACAAAAAUUAGCUGGGUAUGGUGGCACGCACCUGUAGUCCCAGCUGUUCAGGAGGUUGAGGCAGGAGAAUUGCUUAAUUGCUUGAAUCCCGGAGGCAGAGGUUGCAGCGAGCUGAGAUUGUGCCACCGCACUCCUGCCUGGGCGACAGAGGGAGACUAUGUCUAAAUAAGAAAAAAAUAGAAUAAAAAAUGAACGAUAAUGGGAAUUAAAUCUUUAGGUACGUGUCUUGAAAUAUUGUUUAGGAAAAUCACUUUAGUUGUUUGGGAAACAGAUCAGAGAACAUGGGGACUGGGAGACUAUAUGGGAGGCUAUGCAAUAACAUGGACGAAAGGUGCAGUGGUCUCAGUUGGGGUUGGGGAUGAGGGAGAAAGAAAAAGAUGGAGGGAGAGAGGUGAGGAGGUUGAAUAUGAGACCACUUUAGAAAAUAUAAAGUGGUCUGACUUGGUGACAUUUGAGAAAGAAGCAACAUUGGAAAUGACUCUGGAUUAUGUCUAGGAUAACUGGGCAGUUAGUAACCACAUUCACUGAAGUGAGGAAUUCAAGAGAAGAAGCAGAGCUCAAAGUGAAGGGGAAUUAAAUCAUUCCCCUCACCAAGUCAGUGGUUUCUGAACUUUUUUUUAACAGAGACCUCCCGAUUUAAUGCUUUUUUUCUGCUCCUUUUCCCUGUGCUGCACACAGUACUGCUACACUUGGUUAAAAAUAUUGUCUGACUUUCUCAGAAAACAAAAAUUUGGAAAGCUGCUACCAUCCAAUACAUAAAAAAGCCACUGCAGUAAGCAGAGUAUAGGUAGGUACUUUAGACCAGAAGCCCAGCACCCUGAUUAGGUGAUACAAAUUUAUAUGAGACAGAUUUAAAACAACAACAGCAAAAAAAACAACUUGAUGGUGCUUGAAGGUUUAAGCGAAUAUUGGGAGGAAACAAUGGAUUUCAUGUGGGUGUUCCAGUAGCAGUGCAAUAAGAAAAAAAGUUAUAAGUCAACUGACUAUGCCAGUCAUUUUCUUGGACUUUUAAGCAAAUUAUCAACAUACUUUAAUAAGGAGCCUACACAGGAGAAAUCCUCUGAUGAACCCAAAUAAUGGGAGAAAAACAUAGACAUUCUGAAAUCAAUUUCAGAGAUAGCCUACAAAAAAUUAAGCUCCCCAAAGUAUAAUACACUCAAUGCUUCCAACGUCACCACGGAUCUGCCACCUUUAUAUCCUCCUUGAUUGUCUCAAUUCUUAGAUUAGGAAAACAUAAGCAUCUGGCUAUAGCAAAUGCAGCCAGUGGUCUCCAAAACACAGCCUUUGGGAAAACAAACAAACAGACAAACAAGAAAUAAGAGGCAUAGGCUACUAAAUCUAUGACAGAAUUACUGAUCAGUGAUGCUUCCUAAACUCUGGGAUUGUUGCAGAUAUUUCCUUCCUUGAUUCCCUGAUCUGUUUUCAACUCUUUCUCUACAGCUUUCUCUGCAGCUUGUCAUAUUAUAUAUCCAGAGACUAUGAUAGCUAUGGGAAAUUAGGAUGGCCCACUGUCUCAGUCAUUCAGGCUGCUAUAACAAAAUACCUUACACUGGGUAGUUUAUAAACUGCAUAAAUUUAUUGCUCAAAGUUCUGAAGUCUAGGAAUCCAAGAAAUAGGCCUCAGCAAAUUGUGUCUGGGUAAGGGUUUGCUGUCUGCUUCAGAGACGGUGCCUUUAAGCUCUGUCCUCACAUGGCUGAAGGGCUGGGGGUGGGGGGAAAAACUCUCUCAGGCCUCUUUUUUGAGGGCAGUAAUCCUAUUCAUGACAGUGGAGCCCCAUGACCUAAUCACAUCCUAAAGUCCUUCUUGAUACCAUCACCUUGGUGGUUAGGUUUCAACAUAUAAAUUUUGGAGGGAUAAAAACAUUCAGGACAUAGCAUCCACUUUUCAAUGAGCCCAGUGAAAACCUCAGAAUCCUCAGAAAAAUAUUCCAGGUGGGCUCUGACAAUUGGACAAUUGGUAGAAAUUGGCCAAUGCAGUGUAUUGAGUCAUUGGUGCCAAGUGCUUACACACACACACACACACACACACAUCUUUUGCAAAGUAAUUUUGCAUUUCCUCCCACCUCCCCUUUUGACUUUAGGAUUGACCAUGUAAUUUAUUUGGCCAGUAAAAUGUUAUUAACCUGAUACAAAGAGAGGCCUGAAAGAUAUUUUUGUGAUUAUACUUCUGUCUUAUUUUGUUGCCCAAAACAAAUCACAAGGGUCAAGUGGAAAGAGACUAGAAAAUUACAUAGAAAAGAAUAUAGAUAUUGGGAGAGGGUAAAUAAUUGGGGUGAAUAAUCAAAUCUACUAUAAACCUAAUCCCUGCUUUGUUUUGCUGCUAAGAAUUAAAUAGUGGACUGAGAUAGAGUAUAAUAGAAAGUGUUGGUAUUUGGGGUGGGAGCAUGUUGCUUUCAAUAACAUGGUCAAGGAGGGUUCCUCUGAGGGGUCAGAUCUGAAAGUUGGAAAGACACCACACUUGCUACAGGAUUGGAGGGGUGUUUCAGGCACAGGGGCCUCUGCUAGCCCACACAGAAUCUCUGUAUGAAUUGCAAAGACUCCCUUUCCAAAGAGAUGGAUUUCAUGAGAGCUACUUGGCUUGGCAAGCAAAGCUAGAGCUAUAUUUUCAUCCCCCUUGGUUGAGCUGUCCUGGAUAAGGUCACAGACAGGAAGUCUCUUGAUUGUUGUGAGAACUAUCAGAGGGCCAUCAUGGCUUGCAAUCAUAAUCAACUAGGAGUGAUUAUUUAUAUCACAGAAUCAUCCAUUAUAUCAUAAAGAUUAAUCCUAAGGGCACGUAAAGAUUAAUUCUAAGGGCACUAUGAACAUCUAAGUUUGUCAGAUUAAGUAUGUGUCACAGCCUGAGUAGGGGGCAUCUACAUUUAAAAUGUUAAGAAUCACUGCCCAAUAAUCAAUCAGAAGUAAAAUCAAAUAGUCUUUGAAUUAAAAUUGUACAUUCAUGAGAAAAUACAAUUUUUAAAGGUUUAUAUGUGUUGCUUUAAAACUGUGUCUGUGAGGUAAGAUGAAUCACAACCCAAGACGGAAAAAUAUUUUUGUGAAUAAGGCACUCGAAAGCAAAAUGAAGUGGGAAGGAAAGAAAUUUCUAAUAGGGUUCUUAAGAUGAUGCAAGCCAUCUCUGAAUUCAUCCUACAGUUGUAAAAUGGAAUGAAGGUAAGUUCGUGAGGUUGGGUCACAGCUCAUUCAUUCUGUGAAAUGUCCAGAAUCAUCAUUGUCCCAAAGCACUGAGUAGAACUUGCUGGUUCUCCCUUCUAUUUUAGAAAUUUUUGUCAUUGUGUCAUACUGUAAUCAGAAGAGAAGGAUUAAAGGAAAGGCUAAAAUUUUAUGAUCUUUGCUGGAAGAGCCCCAAGUCUUGGUUCAUGAGUUCAUGGGGGAUUCUGAGAUUGUGUUCAUGGCUCCUGUUUCAUUAAAGAGACAGAGAGGAGGGAAAGCAAGAGAACAAACAUUAACAGAGAAGAGUUGAAGUUGAGCAUUCUGCAGUGACUAAGCAAGCAGCUGGUGUGUGGCUGGACAGCUUGAAUUCUCUGCGGGUAGAUUGGAUAUUUGGAUGGAAGGGCAUGAGUUGCUUGGCUUGGGCUUUCAUUGUGAGCAGCAGGUGUUAUAAUGGGCAGCCUGGAUACUUUUUUUUGAGAGGCUGGAGAGGGAACCAGACUUUUGCCAUUGUGACUUUUGUAGCAAAACAUUUUUUAUUGUUGUUUCUAGUACAUCCAUUUUGAAUUUCAUCUGAUGGGGUUGGACAGAAUUAAACCAUUUAACAAAAUUGGGCAGAAUUGGGUAUUUUAGGAGGGUCACGUUUGCAUAUUUGAACACUUGGACUCCAUUUCAUCUUAUAGCCAGAGGCUUUAAAACAAGCAGGAUUCUUUUCAAAGUGCUGUCACAUAAAAAUGUCUUCAUGGCUUUUGCUUUAAGAGAGGGAGAACAUAUGUUUACCUGUAUUGUUAUCACUACUAUUGGCAGAUUUUUCAGUAGAAACUAUUGCUAUUGCUACUGAGGGCAGCUAUUACUUCAUUUUAUUUACCUGUUUUCUUGCAAUUCACACACACUAACACUAGCUCCACAUUGUAUAAAACAAAAUAUCUAAUAGUUUCAAGGUGAAAUGCCAAAAAAAUAAAAGGAAAGAUGGAAGCCUGUUCUACCACUCCUCUUUCUCCCAGGAGGCUAGCUGUCCACAUGGUGACCUCUGCUGAGAAACACAUUAAGUACUUCAAAGUCCAGCUGGCUUUCUGUGGGAUGCACAAGAAGGUUCUUGCACAUCUCACUCUUGUUGUCUGUAAAUGACUGUUUUACUGCACUGACAUUUUUUCCUCUCAGAAUCAGGUAGAAGGGGUUUUCCUAUUCUGCCUGCACCCUUUUGAAAAGAAUCCCUUUGCAAUUAUUGAUGCAGUUGCCCAUCUACAGUAUGAGCCAGGCAAACCAGCAGAGCAUUGCUUGAGCACCAAGACUGAAUGUCUCACUGGUUGGGUAAUGGUGACAAUCUGGGAACAGGCAGUGACUUACAUUGAUCAGGAUCUCUCCUGCCCAAACGGAUGGCUGGGAAGCAGGCCCCUUGGCCCACAGAGAGGACAGCAUGUUCUGUCUCUGGCUGGCUGCAGGGUGGGAAGCAUUGCUCAUCUGAGCAAUGUGAGCCCGUUAAUCUCGGAAUUAUCUAAGAAAAGGCAAUUGCCUGGCACUUCCUCAGCACACAAGGCAGGAGCUGCUAUCACUACUGCCAUCAACAAGGUCUAAUCGGACAGAGGCUUCAGAACAGCUGAAUAAUGUACACACAGCUAUCUGCUGGUCCCAGAGAUGCCCACUCUCUGAGUUCCAGAUGAAAAUGGAAAUGCACAGAAAUGCGUGAAGGCUUUUGGGCUGAUUAAAGACUCUAUGCAAGUUAUUCUUCAACUUCAGAGAGAUUGUUAAAAACACAUAUUCUCGGGCCCUUCUAUAAGAAUUUUGAAUUAGUACUGUGGAUCAGGGUCUGUGCCUUUGAUUUUCUAACAGACUUCGGGGACGCUGAUGCUGCAGGCCCAGGGACCACAUGUUGAGUUGCAUAGCUCUAUAUGCUUAGAGGCUGAAGGCUUGGUUUUCUGGGAAAUUUCUGCUCUGCAUCUAAUGGUUUGGAAGCUCUGGCAUUUCUGACUACUGGUCUUUGUGUUCUGAUUGACCUACAGCUUCACAAAUGGCCAAAUAUUAUUAGAUUCAAAGUCAAAUAAAUUUGAUAAAAACACAUCCAUUAGGCACCUCUAUUGUUCUUUCAUGACAAGACUUGUCCAGCCUAGCAAGAGGAACCAUUAUUAGAGGAAGAGGAAGGGGAAGAGAGAGAGAGGAAGGGUAAAAGUAUGUAGCUAUAUAUGUAUUUCGUUGUUGUUUUAUACCAACGAAGUGGAGUUUUAAAAAGUUCUCUCUCAGCUUCUUGGAGAAGGAUGUUGGUUUAAACAAAAGUAAUGAGAGAACCCUAUCCAGAUCCCUGAGGUGCUAAAGAGAACCCACUUUGCUACACACUACAAUUGUUGGUGAUUUUGAGAUGAUCCCUUUAUAUUGAAAAUAGAGGUGUGUGCAUUGAUUCCUGCUGAGACCAGGCUGCUGGAACAUUUGACUGACUCAAUAAUAAUUAUCCCUGUAGUGUUCUCAGGUAACUAUUGUGGAACUGCUGGCUUCACAUUCAGUUCCCUCUCUCCCAAUUAGUUUUACUCUCAACACUAUUUAACUGAUUUUUAAAGAAAUACAUUUGUAACCAAAAUAAAAUAUUAAUGAUCAGUAUUAUAUAUGUAAUGACUGUAUAAUCUAGGUAAAUAAUUAUCUGUAGUCAAGUAGGGUUUCCAAAAGUAUAUAAUGAAAUUGUUAGAUAAGUAAAUAAGUUUGAUUGUGUUUCCAAGCUAUGCAAGCAGAGAAGAAAAUGUAUCAGAUUCUUAUCUUGUCUGAAUAUGCAUCACUUAACACAUUUCUUUGUCUGCCUCAAUUGUAUGUGUGUGCUUUCAAAUCUCACAACAAAUCAAAAGAAGCUUGAGUUGAUCAAAUAUUAUUGUAUUAGUCAGAAUAGCUUCAGUCAUUUUGCAGUGAUAAAUGGCCAUCACAUCUCUGUGACUCACAUUGUAUGCCCAACACCAGUCAGCUCUGCUUGUUAUAGUCAUGCAGGGACCAUGUUAAUGGACCAUCUAUUUUGAUGCAUGCUGUUUGUCCUGGUUGGAAAAGUAAGGAAAGGGCACGGUGUAGGAUCUCGCACUAGCAAUUAAAUGAUUGAGCCCAAAUGUGAUACAUGUCACUUCUGACCACAAUCGACAAGCCCCCUGACUGUCAAGGAAGUAGUCAUAACCUUGUCUGUCUUCAAAGAAAUAGUGAAACACAACCUCUCAUGAGGGAAACUAGAUAUUGGUGAACCGUAGGAGGGUCUGCCUUAGGUAGAGUCUGCACAACAGUUUGAAUAUGGAAGGAAAGAACAUGGGAAUUUUUUUUUUUGUCUGCAAACUACAAAUGCAUGUCAAUUUGUGGCAUGAAUCCAGGCUUGACUAGAGCCUCCUCAGAGAAGGUCUUUUUCCCUUUGAAAAAUGGUGUAAUUAACAUUUAUAUCAAUCACUUUAAGAUAAAAGAUUUAGACCACCAGGUUAAACUUCCUGUGCUAUUAGUCUGUAAGAUGUAGCCGCAAGUGCAUGGCCUGGGAAUGAGACCAGGAUUCUCGCCUUGGAUCUACUGCUCUGUAACUUUAGACAAAUUGCCUUACCAUCUCUGUAGAUGAAGUGCCCGGACAGAAUGAUCUGUUAGCUUCCUUUCAGUUCCAAGAUUCUGCGAUUCUAUGAAUUAUAAUCUUCACUUAGAUUUAUAUAAUAUUGACCAGAAUGUGGUGGUCUGGAAAAAAGAUACUAGAAAGUAUUAAUAAUAGUGCUGGCCUUAUAAUGGAGCAUACAUAAGUCAUGUAAUGAGUUCCCUUUAAUAUCAUACAUAUCUCCCUUUGGUGCCAGAGUUGAGUUAUCAUUCUCAAACCAUCUAAAAUGCCAAGAUUACAGUCUGGUUGGAAGUCUCUUCUGCCUGCUGGGAGGGAGCAGAGCAGUAAUGAUUAAUUAUAAAGGACAGGGACUCUGGCUUUUCACCUGCCUGGUCUCUGUAGCUUUCAGGGUCCCGUCUAUUUGGAUCAAUGGUUUGCUAAUUACAAACUGUCUUUGGAAGGCUCCACCAUACUCUCUGGUGAUUCAUGUUUUUGCAUUGAUUUUCACAUAAGCUAAGAUUCAGUUGCACCAUUUAAGCACUUGGAAAUUGGUCAUCAAUGAACUAUUUUGGACUUAAUAGAUUUGAUAACACUCAAAGACUCUUUAUGUUUUGAUUUUUGGAUUAUACUGCCUAAUAUAUGUCCUAUUUAUCUGCUUUUUAGAAGGACUCUAGUAAAGGAUAGGCUCUGAUUUAUAGAUAGGCCUCUACAGGCAGUCUGACAUGGAAUAAAGUCUAAAGUUUACUUCAGUAUUCCCCAGGCUUCUUGUUCAGUGAAUACCUAUCUCACUUAGACCUGAAAUUUUUCUGCUAGCUAGUGAGGUGAUCUUUAUUUUAAAUGAGGAAUUAUUUUCUUCUGCACUGUAAUUAGAUCUGAAUUACCAAACUCUAGGUUUAGAACCACAUUGAGUCCUUUGGAUCAUAAGUACUAAUUCAAGAAAAAUUAUACUUAUUAGAUUCUCUGGCAGAUAUUAGAUUGUUCGGCAGAUACCUGGAAUGAGUUAACUAAAGCAGUGGUUUUUAUAAUUUUUUGAAUACUAGAAAACAAUAUGUACAUGAUUAAAGUGGUCUACAUGAUUUAGCUGAUGUGAGUUUCCUGUUUAGCACGCCAAGCUUCACAUCCUUAUUCUGAUCUUCCUAGCCUGUCCCUAAGGUAACUCAAUGACAUGCUAAGGCACAAAAGAACACAUUUAGGAACACCUCCAGAAAUAAUGGGCUUGCGGCUUUGAAACCGCAAUUCAGUGUAUUGGUCAAAAGCAUGGACUUUGAAGGCCCUGUCUUAAGACCUAGAUCCACCGUGAAUUCUUCCAUUUUUCAUUUGUGUUGUGUCUAUCCUCUUUAAUCCUGCUUCCUUAUGUGCAAAAUCAAGAUAAUUAUACCUAACUUAAAGAGCCCUCCUGAGGAGAAAAUGAGAGUAAGGAAAUUAGUAAGAUGCCUUGGCACGUAGUAAGCACACAGUAAAUGUUACUUUUCCUCCUCCUCUUAAUAAGCUACAUGCCUUCCUUAGGAGUGUAAAUUAUGAUAAAUUAAUAGAAAAAUUGAUUCUUCCUUUGAUCAGUCAUUGAUGUGAUGAUAUCUGGUUUUAUAUCCUAAUUUUUAAAAAUAAUUCAUAUGCAAAAGAAAAGAAUCGGAACAAAAGAACCAGGUAGAACAGAUGGAAGAACAUUAUUUCAUUACUUUUUAAUGUUACUUAAAUGUCACAUAUCUGGGAAUUCCCAUAUCUUCCAGUGUUGUUAGGUCACUCUUUCUUGGACUUUUAACUAAAAACAAAACUGGUUUGAGCUCAUCCCAUGAAUACUCAAGCCCCAUAGGGAUUCUUAGGCUCCGAUCAUGUUUCCUAAAUAAUUCCUGUUUUCUGUUUCUACCGAAUCUUCCCAAUACUUCAUGUCUCUCUUCCUGUGGUUGUCUCUUCUCUCUACUUGGAAUUAAUCCAAACUUCUUAUCCUGGCGAUCCCUAAAGCAUUACUGCGAAAAGUGGAUGUGUGAAGGGAUGAAGGUAGUACAAGACAGCAAUGGAUUUAAAACUGUGUUAACUCAUUCUUAUUCUUAGGUGUGCAGUUCUUGGCCCUAUGCUGAUUAGUUUAACGUGUCUAUUUGGCUAGGCUACAGUACUCAGGUAUGCAGUCAAAUACUAGAUACUGCUGUGCAGAUAUUUUGUAGAUGUGGUUAACUUCUACAAUCAGUUGACUUUAAAUAAAGGAGACUGUUCUCCAUUAUGUGGAUGGGCCUCAUCCAUUUAGUAAAGAAGUGUUAAGAGCAAAACUGAAGUUUCCCUAAGAAAGAAGAAAUUCUGUUUCAAGACUGCAACAUCAGCUCUUGCCCAAGAGUAUAAACUUGCCCACCUGAGCCCUACCACAUACUCAUAUAAGCCAAUUCCUUGAAAUAAAUAUAUCCAUCAUCUAUCUAUCCUAUUAAUUUUGUUUCUCAGAGAAUUCUGACUCCUAAUACAGACCUUCUCCACACUUGGAAUUUCUCAUCUUAUUUUCUCUAAUAAAGUAGUUUUAAAGGGUUUAAAACUGAUAGCAAUGAUUAAUCACACUAAUUGUUAUGAACAAUACUGGUUGCUAUUUAAUCAGUACUGAUAUGUGUUAGGCAGACAUUCAUAGACUCUAUUCAACCACCUCUCUGUAGGUUCCUAACACAUUGAGCUUAUGUGGAUUUUAACCAUAUCAUGUAAUUUUGAAGGGACCUUCAUCAGGAUCCUCUACUCCUGAUGAAAAAUCUCUAAGUGGACUGCUCCAGCACCAGAAACUCUAUACAUUCCUUUGGGCUAAAGAUUUUGUUAUAGAAAAUUCUUUGCUUGGAAAAAAUGCCCUAGGAGAAAAAGUUGAUAAUAAUUUAGCUGCUAGGAGACCCAAUAAAAUAUU